rnacentral:rRNA from 1 species
GACGAACGCUGGCGGCGUGCUUAACACAUGCAAGUCGAACGGAAAGGCCCUGCUUUUGUGGGGUGCUCGAGUGGCGAACGGGUGAGUAACACGUGAGUAACCUGCCCUUGACUUUGGGAUAACUUCAGGAAACUGGGGCUAAUACCGGAUAGGAGCUCCUGCUGCAUGGUGGGGGUUGGAAAGUUUCGGCGGUUGGGGAUGGACUCGCGGCUUAUCAGCUUGUUGGUGGGGUAGUGGCUUACCAAGGCUUUGACGGGUAGCCGGCCUGGGAGGGUGACCGGCGACAUUGGGACUGAGAUAGGGCCCAGACGGGUACGGGAGGCAGCAGGGGGGAAUAUUGCACAAUGGGCGGAAGCCAGAUGCAGCAACGCCGCGUGCGGGAUGACGGGCUUCGGGUUGUAAACCGCUUUCGCCUGUGACGAAGCGUGAGUGACGGUAAUGGGUAAAGAAGCACCGGCUAACUACGUG